GCCAGGCAUGGUGGUGCAUGCCUGCAAUCCCAGCAGCUUGGGAGGCUGAAGCAGGAGGAUCAAGAGUUCAAAGCCAGCUUCAG
rnacentral:sRNA from 1 species